rnacentral:rRNA from 1 species
AUACGGAGGGUCCGAGCGUUAAUCGGAAUUACUGGGCGUAAAGCGCGCGUAGGUGGUUCAGUCAGUCAGAUGUGAAAGCCCCGGGCUCAACCUGGGAACUGCACCUGAUACUGCUGAGCUAGAGUACGGUAGAGGGCAGUGGAAUUUCCGGUGUAGCGGUGAAAUGCGUAGAGAUCGGAAGGAACACCAGUGGCGAAGGCGACGGCCUGGGCGGAUACUGACCCGAAGGUGCGAAAGCGUGGGUAGAAAACAGGAUUAGAUACCCUGGUAGUCCACGCCGUAAACGAUGUCAACUAGCCGUUGGGGGACUUGAUCCUUUAGUGGCGAAGCUAACGCGAUAAGUUGACCGCCUGGGGAGUACGGCCGCAAGGUUGAAACUCAAAUGAAUUGACGGGG